rnacentral:lncRNA from 1 species
GUGACACUUCUCUCUUUGUUUUCUCUCUCCUGCUCCUAUGUGAAGACAUGCUCGCUUUUUCUUUAUGCUUCAUCAUGAUUGCUGUUUUCUGAGACAUCUGCAGCCCUGCCUUCUGCACAACCUGUAGAAUUGAAAUUGUGAGCACCAGCUAGCUCUGAAGAGGAAGCAGAAGCAACAACCCCAAAUAAUGAUUAGUCCUCUAAUUAGUUCAGUAAGAGAUUCUGACAUGGUUUGUCUCUGUCACUUCUGAAAUAUCAUCUUGAAUUCUCACGUGUGAUGAAUGAAACCCAGUGGGAGUUAAUUGAAUCAUGGGGGCGACCUUUUUCGUGCUGCUCUCAUGUUAGUCAAUAAAUCUCAUUAAAUCUAAUGGCUUUGUAAGGGGGAGCUUCUCUGCACAAGCUCUCUGUUUGCCAGCUGCCAUCCAUGUAAGACGUGAAUUUCUCCUGCUUGCUUUCUGCCAUGAUUGUGAGGCCUCCCCACAAACUUGGAACUGUAAGGUCAUUAAAUCUCUUUCUUUUGUAAAUUGCCAAGUGCCUAGUAUGUCUUUAUCAGCAGCAUGGAGAUUGACUAAUACAGUAAAUUGGUACUGAGAGUGGGGUUCUGCUGAAAAGAAACCUGAAAAUGUGGAAGUGACUUUGGAACUGGAUAACAGACAGAGGUUGAAACAGUAUGGAGGGCUGAGAAGAAGACAGGAAAAUGUGGAAAAUUUUGUAACUUCCUAGAGAUAUAUUGAAUAGUUUUGACCAAAAUGCUGAUAAUGAUAUGGACAGUGAAAUCCCGACUGUGUUGGUCUCAGAUGGAGAUGAGGAACUUGUUGGAAACUGGAGUAAAGGUGAUGCUUGUUAUGCUUUAGCAAAAACGACUGGCAGCAUUUUGCCCCCUGCCCUAGAGAUCAGUGGGACUUUGAACUUGGGAGAGAUGAUUCAGGGCAUCUAGCAGAAUAAAUUUCUAAGCAGCAAAGCAUUCAAAAAGUCACUUUGGUACUAUCAAAGGCAUUCAGUUUUAAAAGGAAAAUACACAUAAAAAUUGAGAAAAUUUGCAUCCUGACUAUGCAAUAGAAAACAAAAUUCCAUGUUUUGAGGAGAAAUUCAAGCCAGCUGAAUAUAUCUGCAUAAGUAAUAAGAAACUCAAUGCUAAUCACCAAGACAGUGGGGAAAACAUCUCCAGGAUGUGUCAGAGACCUUUGUCAAAGCUGCUUUCAUCACAGGCCCAGAGACCUAGGAGGCAAAAUAAAAUUAUUUAGUGGACUGGGACCAGGCUUUUUCUGCUCUGUGCAAUCUAUGGACUUGGUCCCCUGCAUCCCAGAAGCUUUAGCCAUAACUUAAAAGAGCCAAGGUACAGCUCAGGCUAUGGCUUCUGAGGGUCCAAGCCCCAAGCAUUGACAGCUUCCAUGUGGUUUUGAGCCUAUGGGUGCACAAAAGUCAAGAAUUGAAGUUUGGGAACCUCCACCUACAUUCCAGAGAAUAUAUAAAACAUCUGGAUAACCAGGCAGUAGUUUGCUGCAGGGGUGGGGCACUCACGGAGAACCUCUGCUAUGGGAGUGCAGAAGGGAAUCAUGGGGUGGGAGUGCAGAAAGAAAAAUGGAGUCUCCACUGAGGUGCUGCCUAGUGGAGCUAUGAGAAGUGAGCCACCAUCUUCAAGACACUGGAAUGGUAGAUCCAAUAACAGCCUGCACUGUGCACCUGGAAAAGCUGCAGACACUCAACAGUAGCCUGUGAAAGUAGGUGGGAGGGAGGCUGCACGCUGCAAAGCCACAGGAUGGGAGAUUUCUAAGACCAUAGGAACCACCCUCUUCCAUCAGCAUGAUCCAGUUUAAGACAUGAAGUCAAAGGAGAUCAUUUUGAAGUGCUAAGAUUUGACUGUCCACUGGAUUUUGGACUUGCUUGGGGCCUGUAGCCCUUUUGUUUUGACCAAUUUCUCCCAUUUAAAAUGACUGUCAUUAUCUGAUGCAUAUACCCCCAUUGUACUAGGAAAGAACUAAAUUGCUUUUGAUUUUAUAGGCUCAUAAGUGGAAGGCACUUACUUUAGCUCAGAUGAGACACUGGACUUCUGAGUUAAUCCUGAAAUGAAUUAAGUCUUGGAAACUGUUUGGAAGACGUGAUUGGUUUUGAAAUGUGAGGACAUGAUAUUUGGGAGGGGCCAGGAGUGGAAUGAUAUGCUUUGGCUGUGUUCGCACCCAAAUCUCAUCUUGAAUUCCACCGUGUUGUGGGAGGGACCAGGUGGGAGACAAUUGAAUCAUGGGGGCAGGCCUUUCCCAUGUUUUUCUCACAAUAGUGAAUAAGUCUCAUGAGAUCUGAUUCUUUUACAAGGGACUUUUUAUGCACAAGCUCUCUGUUUGCCUGUUGCCAUCCAUGUAAGACAUGACUUGCUCCUCUGUGACUUCUACUAUGAUUGUGAGGCCUCCCCAGACACUUGGUACUCUAAGUCCACCAAACCUCUUUUUUUUUAAUUGCCCAGUCUAGGGUAUGUCUUUAUCAGAAGCAUGAAAAUGAACCAAUACAGAUUCUGUGGUAGGCCAGUCAGUCCUGGAAAUAAUUCAGAUGAGAGUAGGUCUGAUCUGAGUUUGGUUAUGGAGUGAGCCUUAUGCCUAUAAUUUCUAUACCACUGGAUAUAUUAAGUUCUGUGCUUCCUGAUUCUGCUCCAGAGAAAUAUGACUCCAACAAUUUUUGUCAUCUUAAUGUAUUUUAGGCAUUUUCCUGUCUCUUUUACAAUAUACCAUAACAAGCAAUUUAACCAAAUCCCUUGGUUCUUUCUAUGGCAGUUACAUUAGAAGCUAAAUAUUUAUUCUUAACAAAGUAAAAGCAAUAAAGUAGUAAUGAUAAAAACAACGCAUUUUCUAUCCAUGUACAGCUCAUCAGGUCAUGACAUUAAAACUCCCAGAGAAGCAAUAUAAGGGAAAUGGUCAAAAUUAAGUCCAACUUCUUUAUUGGUACUGACCACAUGAUGCUGAAUUCAACCAUUUAUCUAUAUUCUCUAGAAUGAGCAUUCCUGGAUAGUAGAGACCAUGACUGCUUCCUGUGUUUUCUAAUCGCAUAUAAAGCAGAAGCAAGCAGCUCAUAGAUAAAUUCAAAUCGCCAGACCUGAUUUUUCACCAAAGAACCAGAAAAUGGAGCAACUUCCAGCUGGAUACAAGCCAGGACAUUUCUGUGAAGGGAAGAACAAACCCUGGUUGAGUACUUUCUCCUCUGAAAUGAAAGCAGAAUAGACAUCUUUUUUUUUUUUUUUGAGCAGAACUCUAGUUUUGAAAGGAUGAACCCAAAUGUCUCAAGGACUAACAGGUGCUGGUCAGAGUACCCAGUUACUGUAAGCUAAUAUCCCAUGGUGUCCAGGCAGGAGACACUCAGGCUUACUUUGUGAGGUGCAAAUAGAAAAUGGAAAUGUUCUGGUGGACUUGCAGACCCUGAAUCCAGAUGUAAUAACCUCUGGAACUCUGAGGAGUUAACCUCUGCUACUGAAGAACCAACUGUUGGGUAUGAGAAAAAACACAAAUACUCUAUUUCAGUAACGCAGUGGAAAGACAAGCAUAGUUGAAAUAAAGUUUCUAAAUGUCUUGUGAUCUAGGCCCGUCACUUUGAAGGUGAUUCUUUAAACUUACAUAUUCUGCCAUCAGAUUCUGUUUAUACCAGCUUGUCACAAAAUUGUAGUGGAUCACUGAAUAAAAUCUGGAAAACUCAAGAAGUUCUACUCUCUCAAAAAGUGGGGCUUCAUAUAUCAAUGUUGACCUCUCACAAUUCUGAAAAUGUCUCCUCUGAAUUUCUGCAUGUCCUAAACUGAGAGUGUGGCUGUGUCUUGUGAAUCUCAGGAAAAGGCAAGUUUUAUGUAUAGAUUCUUGAUGAGAUCAACCUGGCUCUGCAUUUUUGUGAGUUGCAGCAAGUGGAGUAAAACCAGAGUAGAGAUUCGCCUCAUGGAGGCUCCUUUAAUACAUUCUAAGUAGUAUUUUGACCUAAAAGUGGAGGAUUAAACUUAAUAUAUUAAGUAGAGAGUUUAUUUGGGCCAAAGCUUGAAGAUGCAACUCUAGAGUACAGUUACAGUUUCCCUGAAUAUACACUCCAAUUAGCAGCAAUUAUAACUGUAUACUUAAAUGCAAAAAAAAAAAAAGUCUGAUACCAAGUUCUUGUCAGAUAUCUUUAUUACCAGAUGCUAGGAAGAGUAACAGUGGGUUGAUGGAAAGUAGGGAUAGGGAAAGGGUACAAAAACUGUUAGAAUUCAAACCUCAGAAAACAAAAGUCAGAUGUUGUCUAUAAAUUUGUAGAUACUCUUUAUGAUUUUAUCACCUACUGUGUAUCAUCAAAUAGGGUUUUAUUUAAUUUUUUACCUUUCACACUUUCUAUCAUAAAAAGAUAAAUUGGUAUAUUCAGUUUUUUUUCUCCAGGUUGUCAAAGACUUGUUAUUUUUUCUCUCAUGUAAGGAACAUAGGAGCCAUAAUUUCCAGCUGUACAAGAGAACAUAUGACAUAAAUUGUAAACAACUCUUCUCAGAUUCAUCAGUAACUUCAGAUCAAAUGGAAUAUUCUUAACCCCAAUUCAGAUUAAAAACAGAUGAACACAUAACUUCAAAACUUAUCUGUGCAUUAUAAUUUCUCAGUUUACAAACCCAUAAGCAUGAACAUCUGCAUGAACCAGUACCAAGAUAGAAAAAUCCAAAGUGUAACUGGCAAAUAAAGGUUGAGUGCAGACAAACGUGACACUAUAAAAUAACAGAGAAACCAGACUUAGGGAAUCUUCAUAAGCUUAUGAGUUUUAUAUACUUAGGUAUUCCAGAUUAGCAGUGAAGAUUAUAGAAAAAUCCCUUUAUGCUUUUGGUAGGGGGAGUGGAAAAUAUUCCUGGGUAAAGUUAGCCAUUUUAAACUAUUCUCAGGGCGUUCUUAGCAUCCGUGGUGGUCUACACUCACUUUGUUUUUUUCCUGUCUCCAGAGGUGGUCACUCUCCCUAAUUUUGUAGAUAUUCUUUAUAACAUUAUCGUUUUGUAUCAAAAAUAGUGUCUUCUUAAUUUGUCUUCUUUUCACUUUCUAUGAAAGUAAAUUAAUCGAUUCGUAUCUCUGGUUUUGGCCCCCAGGUUGUUUCAUGCCUGCUGGCGUCUAAGGCUUGAGUUAUCCACUUUUCUCAUUUAUUCCACUUACUGUAGGAUUUAAAUUGUUUCAAUUUUAUAUUUGGUUAUGUAAAAUGGUUUGCUUGUAAUACUUGUUUAGGUUUCCAAAUGCUUAUGCAUAAAUAGUAAAAUAUACAUUAGAGAAAACUAGUUGGGUUGUAGAUUUUGGGAAAUCUCAAGGUUACCAGAAAUUUCCAAUAAAGUGUAUGAAGUUACCCUUCCAUCAUUUUGCACAUACAUUUAUUUAUUAAAUUGGAAUUAUGUAAUGUAUUAAUUUUUGCCUAUCAGUAUGUGUAAAAUGAGAUCACAUUAGAUUUUAAGUUUAUUUUUUACUAAUUAAUGCUGAGACUGAUCAUUUUUAAAUAUAGUCUCACACUUCUAGAUAAUGGUUUCAGUCAUGUUGUCAUUGUUCACUAUCUUGUUUCUUUCUCAUGAUUUUUAAAUAUAGUCUGGGCAUUUAUUUUCAUGUUUGGUUUUAACUGAUGUUUUCAACUCAUUAAAUUAAACACUAUGAAGUGCUAAUGCUAAAUCAUUUGUCAGAUAAGGUUUUGUUCAUAAUACAUUGCCAACUGUCUUUGAACAUGGGCAUAUCAACUUGAAUUCAC